UACGGAGGGGGCUAGCGUUGUUCGGAAUUACUGGGCGUAAAGCGCACGUAGGCGGCUUUGUAAGUUAGAGGUGAAAGCCCGGGGCUCAACCCCGGAAUAGCCUUUAAGACUGCAUCGCUUGAACACGGGAGAGGUGAGUGGAAUUCCGAGUGUAGAGGUGAAAUUCGUAGAUAUUCGGAAGAACACCAGUGGCGAAAGGCGGCUCACUGGACCGUUGUUGACGCUGAGGUGCGAAAGCGUGGGGAGCAAACAGG
rnacentral:rRNA from 1 species